AAACAUGGCUCCCUGAAAUCACAUGAUAGGGAGUCGGACCUGCCCAGUGAAUUUUUCAACGGCCGCGGUACUCUGACCGUGCAAAGGUAGCAUAAUCAUUUGCCUUAUAAUUGAAGGCUAGUAUGAAUGGUUUGACAAGAAUAUAGCUGUCUCUCUAUGAUUUAAUAGAAUUUUAUUUACAGGUGAAGAAGCCUGUAUUAAAUUAAAAGACAAGAAGACCCUAUCGAGCUUAUAAAAAAUUUAAUAGAAUUUAGAUUAAUAUAGUUAAAAAAUUAUCUAUUAUACAUUUUAGUUGGGGCGACUGAGGAACACAUAAAGCUUCCUUUAAAAUCUAUUUGUAAUUCAAACUAGAGUUGAUCCAAAAUAUUUUGAUUAAAGAAAUUAGUUACCGUAGGGAUAACAGCAUUAUCUUCUUUAAGAGCUCAUAUCGAAAAGAAGGUUUGUGACCUCGAUGUUGGACCAGAAUAUCCUGAAGAUGCAGCAGUCUUCAAGGGUUGGUCUGUUCGACCAUUAAAAUUCUACCUGA
rnacentral:rRNA from 1 species